rnacentral:rRNA from 1 species
CCUACGGGAGGCAGCAGUGAGGAAUAUUGGUCAAUGGGCGGGAGCCUGAACCAGCCAAGUCGCGUGAGGGAAGACGGUCCUAUGGAUUGUAAACCUCUUUAGUCGGGGAGCAAAGCCGGGCACGUGUGCCCGGAGGGAGAGUACCCACAGAAAAGGCAUCGCCAAACUCGGUGCCAGCAGCCGCGUUAAUACGGGGGAUGCGGGCGUUAUCCGGAUUUAUUGGGUUUAAAGGGUGCGUAGGCGGAUUUUUAAGUCGGCGGUAAAAUGUCGGGGCUCAACCCGGGCGGGCCGUUGAAACUGGGGAUCUUGAGUGGGCGAGAAGUAUGCGGAAUGCGUGGUGUAGCGGUGAAAUGCAUAGAUAUCAAGCAGAACUCCGAUUGCGAAGGCAGCAUACCGGCGCCCGACUGACGCUGAGGCACGAAAGCGUGGGGAUCGAACAGGAUUAGAUACCCCGGUAGUC